UACGGAGGGUGCAAGCGUUAAUCGGAAUUACUGGGCGUAAAGCGUGCGCAGGCGGUUUGUUAAGUCCGCUGUGAAAUCCCCGAGCUCAACUUGGGAAUUGCAGUGGAUACUGGCAAGCUGGAGUAUGGUAGAGGAAGGUGGAAUUCCCGGUGUAGCAGUGAAAUGCGUAGAGAUCGUAAGGAAGACCAGUGGCGAAGGCGAGUUUCUGGACGGUAACUGACGCUGAGGCACGAAGGCCAGGGGAGCAAACGGG
rnacentral:rRNA from 1 species